ensembl:miRNA
UUGUAUUAGGUUGGUGCAAAAGUAAUUGUGGUUUUGCCAUUAAAAGUAUGGCCAAAACCACAAUUACUUUUGCACCAACCUAAU